rnacentral:rRNA from 1 species
GAUGAACGCUGGCGGCGUGCCUAAUACAUGCAAGUCGAGCGAACAGAUGAGGAGCUUGCUCCUCUGACGUUAGCGGCGGACGGGUGAGUAACACGUGGAUAACCUACCUAUAAGACUGGGAUAACUUCGGGAAACCGGAGCUAAUACCGGAUAAUAUAUUGAACCGCAUGGUUCAAUAGUGAAAGACGGUUUUGCUGUCACUUAUAGGUGGAUCCGCGCCGCAUUAGCUAGUUGGUAAGGUAACGGCUUACCAAGGCAACGAUGCGUAGCCGACCUGAGAGGGUGAUCGGCCACACUGGAACUGAGACACGGUCCAGACUCCUACGGGAGGCAGCAGUAGGGAAUAUUCCGCAAUGGGCGCAAGCCUGACCGAGCCACGCCGCGUGAGUGAUGAAGGUCUUCGGAUCGUAAAACUCUGUUAUUAGGAAAGAAAAACUGUGUAAGUAACUACGCACGUCUUGACGGUACCUAAUCAGAAAGCAACGGCUAACUACGUG